CAGUCGAACGGGGUAUAUAAGCGGAAGUUUACGGAUGGAAGGUUAUAUACUUAGUGGCGGACGGGUGAGUAACGCGUGGGCAACCUGCCCCGUGCCGGGGGAUACCGCCUGGAAACAGGCGCUAAUACCGCAUAAGCGCAUACAGCCGCAUGGCAGUAUGCGGAAAGCUCCGGCGGCACGGGAUGGGCCCGCGCCCGAUUAGCCAGUUGGCGGGGUAACGGCCCACCAAAGCGACGAUCGGUAGCCGGCCUGAGAGGGCGGACGGCCACAUUGGGACUGAGACACGGCCCAAACUCCUACGGGAGGCAGCAGUGGGGAAUAUUGCACAAUGGGGGAAACCCUGAUGCAGCAACGCCGCGUGGGUGAAGGAGCGUUUCGGCGCGUAAAGCCCUGUCAGCGGGGAAGAAGAAAGACGGUACCCGACCAAGAAGCCCCGGCUAACUACGUGCCAGCAGCCGCGGUAAUACGGAGGAUCCGAGCGUUAUCCGGAUUUAUUGGGUUUAAAGGGAGCGUAGGUGGAUUGUUAAGUCAGUUGUGAAAGUUUGCGGCUCAACCGUAAAAUUGCAGUUGAAACUGGCAGUCUUGAGUACAGUAGAGGUGGGCGGAAUUCGUGGUGUAGCGGUGAAAUGCUUAGAUAUCACGAAGAACUCCGAUUGCGAAGGCAGCUCACUGGACUGCAACUGACACUGAGGCUCGAAAGUGUGGGUAUCAAACAGGAUUAGAUACCCUGGUAGUCCACACAGUAAACGAUGAAUACUCGCUGUUUGCGAUAUACGGCAAGCGGCCAAGCGAAAGCAUUAAGUAUUCCACCUGGGGAGUAC
rnacentral:rRNA from 1 species